rnacentral:rRNA from 1 species
AAGGUUGACCUCGGAUCAGGUAGGGAUACCCGCUGAACUUAAGCAUAUCAAUAAGCGGAGGAAAAGAAACCAACAGGGAUUACCUCAGUAACGGCGAGUGAAGCGGUAACAGCUCAAAUUUGAAAUCUGGCUCUUUCAGGGUCCGAGUUGUAAUUUGUAGAAGAUGCUUUGGGUGUGGCUCCGGUCUAAGUUCCUUGGAACAGGACGUCAUAGAGGGUGAGAAUCCCGUAUGUGACCGGCGGCCUUCGCCCGUGUAAAGCUCUUUCGACGAGUCGAGUUGUUUGGGAAUGCAGCUCAAAAUGGGUGGUAGAUUUCAUCUAAAGCUAAAUAUUGGCCAGAGACCGAUAGCGCACAAGUAGAGUGAUCGAAAGAUGAAAAGCACUUUGGAAAGAGAGUUAAACAGUACGUGAAAUUGUUGAAAGGGAAGCGCUUGCAACCAGACUCGCAUGCGGCUGAUCAUCCGGGGUUCUCCCCGGUGCACUCGGUCGUCUACGGGCCAGCAUCGGUUUGGGUGGUGGGAUAAAGACCGUCGGAAUGUAGCUUCUCUCGGGGAGUGUUAUAGCCUUCGGUGCAAUGCCGCCUACC